rnacentral:rRNA from 1 species
UUAAGCGACUAAGCGUACACGGUGGAUGCCCUGGCAGUCAGAGGCGAUGAAGGACGUGCUAAUCUGCGAAAAGCGUCGGUAAGGUGAUAUGAACCGUUAUAACCGGCGAUGUCCGAAUGGGGAAACCCAGUGUGAUUCGUCACACUAUCGUUAACUGAAUACAUAGGUUAACGAGGCGAACCGGGGGAACUGAAACAUCUAAGUACCCCGAGGAAAAGAAAUCAACCGAGAUUCCCCCAGUAGCGGCGAGCGAACGGGGAGCAGCCCAGAGUCUGAAUCAGCUUGUGUGUUAGUGGAACGGUCUGGAAAGUCCGACGGUACAGGGUGAUAGUCCCGUACACCAAAAUGCACAGGUUGUGAACUCGAAGAGUAGGGCGGGACACGUGGUAUCCUGUCUGAAUAUGGGGGGACCAUCCUCCAAGGCUAAAUACUCCUGACUGACCGAUAGUGAACCAGUACCGUGAGGGAAAGGCGAAAAGAACCCCGGCGAGGGGAGUGAAAAAGAACCUGAAACCGUGUACGUACAAGCAGUGGGAGCACCUUCGGGUGUGACUGCGUACCUUUUGUAUAAUGGGUCAGCGACUUAUAUUCUGUAGCAAGGUUAACCGUAUAGGGGAGCCGCAGGGAAACCGAGUCUUAACUGGGCGUUAAGUUGCAGGGUAUAGACCCGAAACCCGGUGAUCUAGCCAUGGGCAGGUUGAAGGUUGGGUAACACUAACUGGAGGACCGAACCGACUAAUGUUGAAAAAUUAGCGGAUGACUUGUGGCUGGGGGUGAAAGGCCAAUCAAACCGGGAGAUAGCUGGUUCUCCCCGAAAGCUAUUUAGGUAGCGCCUCGUGAACUCAUCUUCGGGGGUAGAGCACUGUUUCGGCUAGGGGGUCAUCCCGACUUACCAACCCGAUGCAAACUACGAAUACCGAAGAAUGUUAUCACGGGAGACACACGGCGGGUGCUAACGUCCGUCGUGAAGAGGGAAACAACCCAGACCGCCAGCUAAGGUCCCAAAGUCAUGGUUAAGUGGGAAACGAUGUGGGAAGGCACAGACAGCCAGGAUGUUGGCUUAGAAGCAGCCAUCAUUUAAAGAAAGCGUAAUAGCUCACUGGUCAAGUCGGCCUGCGCGGAAGAUGUAACGGGGCUAAACCAUGCACCGAAGCUGCGGCAGCGACACUAUGUGUUGUUGGGUAGGGGAGCGUUCUGUAAGCCUGCGAAGGUGACCUGUGAGGGUUGCUGGAGGUAUCAGAAGUGCGAAUGCUGACAUAAGUAACGAUAAAGCGGGUGAAAAGCCCGCUCGCCGGAAGACCAAGGGUUCCUGUCCAACGUUAAUCGGGGCAGGGUGAGUCGACCCCUAAGGCGAGGCCGAAAGGCGUAGUCGAUGGGAAACAGGUUAAUAUUCCUGUACUUGGUGUUACUGCGAAGGGGGGACGGAGAAGGCUAUGUUAGCCGGGCGACGGUUGUCCCGGUUUAAGCAUGUAGGCUGAUUGUCCAGGCAAAUCCGGAUAAUCAAGGCUGAGGUGUGAUGACGAGGCACUACGGUGCUGAAGUAACAAAUGCCCUGCUUCCAGGAAAAGCCUCUAAGCAUCAGGUAACAUCAAAUCGUACCCCAAACCGACACAGGUGGUCAGGUAGAGAAUACCAAGGCGCUUGAGAGAACUCGGGUGAAGGAACUAGGCAAAAUGGUGCCGUAACUUCGGGAGAAGGCACGCUGGUGUGUAGGUGAAGUCCCUGCGGAUGGAGCUGAGACCAGUCGAAGAUACCAGCUGGCUGCAACUGUUUAUUAAAAACACAGCACUGUGCAAACACGAAAGUGGACGUAUACGGUGUGACGCCUGCCCGGUGCCGGAAGGUUAAUUGAUGGGGUUAUCCGUAAGGAGAAGCUCUUGAUCGAAGCCCCGGUAAACGGCGGCCGUAACUAUAACGGUCCUAAGGUAGCGAAAUUCCUUGUCGGGUAAGUUCCGACCUGCACGAAUGGCGUAAUGAUGGCCAGGCUGUCUCCACCCGAGACUCAGUGAAAUUGAACUCGCUGUGAAGAUGCAGUGUACCCGCGGCAAGACGGAAAGACCCCGUGAACCUUUACUAUAGCUUGACACUGAACAUUGAGCCUUGAUGUGUAGGAUAGGUGGGAGGCUUUGAAGCGUGGACGCCAGUCUGCGUGGAGCCAACCUUGAAAUACCACCCUUUAAUGUUUGAUGUUCUAACGUUGGCCCCUUACCGGGGUUGCGGACAGUGUCUGGUGGGUAGUUUGACUGGGGCGGUCUCCUCCCAAAGCGUAACGGAGGAGCACGAAGGUUAGCUAAUCCUGGUCGGACAUCAGGAGGUUAGUGCAAUGGCAUAAGCUAGCUUGACUGCGAGCGUGACGGCGCGAGCAGGUGCGAAAGCAGGUCAUAGUGAUCCGGUGGUUCUGAAUGGAAGGGCCAUCGCUCAACGGAUAAAAGGUACUCCGGGGAUAACAGGCUGAUACCGCCCAAGAGUUCAUAUCGACGGCGGUGUUUGGCACCUCGAUGUCGGCUCAUCACAUCCUGGGGCUGAAGUAGGUCCCAAGGGUAUGGCUGUUCGCCAUUUAAAGUGGUACGCGAGCUGGGUUUAGAACGUCGUGAGACAGUUCGGUCCCUAUCUGCCGUGGGCGCUGGAGAAUUGAGGGGGGCUGCUCCUAGUACGAGAGGACCGGAGUGGACGCAUCACUGGUGUUCGGGUUGUCAUGCCAAUGGCACUGCCCGGUAGCUAAAUGCGGAAGAGAUAAGUGCUGAAAGCAUCUAAGCACGAAACUUGCCCCGAGAUGAGUUCUCCCUGAGACUUUAAGUCUCCUGAAGGAACGUUGAAGACGACGACGUUGAUAGGCCGGGUGUGUAAGCGCAGCGAUGCGUUGAGCUAACCGGUACUAAUGAACCGUGAGGCUUAACCUU